GGAAGGUUGAGCUGCUGUUUAUCUGUUCCUAGAGAUGCUAGAAUUCUAAAGAAUUUUAUCUUUAAAAAAUCUUUAAAAUAUUGCAGAAUGAGAUCCUGUAUGAUGAGAGUUUAAAUUCCUACCACAGCCAUAUAUACAUGCUUGCUAGACUUUGAGCCACACAUUUAUUAUUUACUGCUUAUAAGCAUUGAGUGUGGUCAAGCUGUGUAGACCCUUAGGAGCUUGUCAUGUGGUUAAAUCAAGAUUCACUUGCACGUUUACUCACAUAUGCUGCUUCUACUCCGGAAGUACCAUCCACAUAUAUCCACCAAUUUCCAUCUCCAGAACCACCCAAAAAUAUUCUACUCCUAAUCCGGGAGAGAAUAGCCAAAAACAUUUCUAUUUUUCCCUUGUGAAAUAAAUGCUCAAGUUAUCUUGUUACUACCACUUGCUAUAUUAUCUCAAGAUAUGAGUGCUCUAAAAAAAGAGAGAAAAUGCGAGAAAAUAAAAAGGGGCAAGUGCCCGGAACCUCAAAAGUAAAGAAAAAAGUGAGAUGAGAGGUAAAAAUGGACAAGUGUCCAAAAGUAGAAUUAAAGGUACAAGAUACCCACAUGAGAGGAAAGAAAAAAAUACAGAGCAUCUCAUUCUCUUCAAAAGUUUCAAAAGAGCAAGGAAGGUAUGUAUCCCCUCAAAAGAGCACAAGUAGAAUUAGACUUUCACCAUUGUUAUCACCAUCAUUACCAUACACCAUUCAUUCGCCACACAUGCACAUCUUGAUUUGACUUAUUGGCUUGUUUCUUUGGAUCCAUGGUUUGACUAUACAAUAAAUGUCUUGUAAGUAUGUAUAUUUUAUCUCCCACCUAUGAGCUCCAGAUAUCAAAAGCCUUAUUAGAGUAGGGUGAGAGAGAAGGCAAUGUCAUUAUGCCUUAUACCACAAAUACCACAUAUAUUGAGAGAAGGCAUAUACCAUCACUGUCUUGGUAAGGAUCUAGAAAUACCACAAAAGAGAGAUCUGAGAGAGUCAUACAAGGAAUCUCUGAGUUUUAUUUGAAAAUCUGCGAAAAACUCCAGAGCUAUAGCUGAUCAAGAAUAAGAGACAUGGCACUUGACUAGACCGUUCUAUCUUUUAACUACUCAGGACAGAAGUGACGGUUACAAGUCCCAUGGUGAAAGGUAAAGUAAGUAUGUUUUAAGUCUUGACAGUUUACUCUAACUC
rnacentral:lncRNA from 1 species